GUGAAUUCUGUGAAGAAGAGAGUAAUUAUCACAGGUUCUUAAGCGAGUUAGGGAUUUGGUGUGAGCCUAACAGAACAGUGAUAAUGAAGCGGACUUCUGAGGAGCAGCCUGAACGAGUGCUAGUAGGGUGUGCCGGUUGAUGAACGUUAAUCAUUUCAAGCUUGGUUCAAUUUGAACAAAAAGAGUGGUACCGCGGGUAAUCUCGUCUCUAUA
rnacentral:ncRNA from 1 species